CUGCCAGAUGCAUUUGUGUGAACCAGGGAUACUGCAUCUUUAAUGAACAAGUCUCUUCUCUUUCCCCUGUUUUUAAAUACAACACAAGCUGUGUAGCACUAGGUACUGCAAUUGUCAAAGACAAUUAGACUGAAAGCAGGAAAAUUUCACCUCCCUGUCUCAGUGAUAUGUAGAAUGUCGGCAGCAUGGGUCAGCCUUGCCACAGAGUUGUGUGAGAAUAUAUGAAUCAGUCCUAUAGAAUGUUAAAUAUUUAUAAAAUGGUUCUGUAGUACACCAAGCUUGGGAGCACAUUCAUUCUUUGUGUUGUCCUAUGAUACAAAAAAAGCUAAAGUUUAUUUUCAGGCUUAAAACAUUCUCA
rnacentral:lncRNA from 1 species